rnacentral:rRNA from 1 species
UACGUAGGGUGCGAGCGUUGUCCGGAAUUAUUGGGCGUAAAGGGCUCGUAGGCGGUUUGUCGCGUCGGGUGUGAAGCCCGGGGCUUAACCCCGGGUCUGCAUUCGAUACGGGCUAGCUAGAGUGUGGUAGGGGAGAUCGGAAUUCCUGGUGUAGCGGUGAAAUGCGCAGAUAUCAGGAGGAACACCGGUGGCGAAGGCGGAUCUCUGGGCCAUUACUGACGCUGAGGAGCGAAAGCGUGGGGAGCGAACAGG